GGCAGAGCGGCGGUCUCCAAAACCGCAGGUUGGGGGUUCGAUUCCCUCCUGGCCUG
rnacentral:tRNA from 1 species